rnacentral:rRNA from 1 species
AUUGAACGCUGGCGGCAGGCCUAAUACAUGCAAGUCGAGCGCAGCGUCGGACGGGGGAGUGAUGCCUGGGACUUUGCCUGUUAGUGAGGUACACCUUCCGGAAACGUGACCUAAUACCGCAUACUAUCAGAUGAGCAUAGGGUGUAUUAGCUAGAUGGUGGGGUAAAGGCGUACCAAGGCGACGAGCCGUAACUGGUCUGAGAGGAUGAUCAGCCACACUGGAACUGAGACACGGUCCAGACUCCUACGGGAGGCAGCAGUAGGGAAUCUUCGACAAUGGGCGAAAGUCUGAUCCAGCAAUGCCGCGUGUGUGAAGAAGGUUUUCGGAUCGUAAAGCACUGUAGGUAGGGAAGCGGUAUCAAACGAGUAAGCAACGGCUAACUACGUGCCAGCAGCCGCGGUAAUAC